rnacentral:rRNA from 1 species
AUUGAACGCUGGCGGCAGGCCUAACACAUGCAAGUCGAGCGCGCGGCGCACAGGGGAGUAAUGUAUGGGGACUGCGCCAUAGGGGGGGGUAACUCCUGGAGACGGUAGCUCAUACAGCAUACUCUCGGAUAAUCCAUAUGGGAUUAGCUAGUAGGUGGGGUAAUGGCGCACCUAGGCGACGAUCCCUAGCUGGUCUGAGAGGAUGAUCAGCCACACUGGGACUGAGACACGGCCCAGACUCCUACGGAGGCAGCAGUGGGGAAUAUUGCACAAUGGGCGCAAGCCUGAUGCAGCCAUGCCGCGUGUAUGAAGAAGGCCCUAGGGUUGUAAAGUACUUUCAGUCGGGAGGCGUUACCGACAGAAGAAGCACCGGCUAACUCCGUGCCAGCCGCCGCGGUAAUUC